UAAGAGCUUGCUCUUAUGGGUGGCGAGUGGCGGACGGGUGAGGAAUACAUCGGAAUCUACCUUUUCGUGGGGGAUAACGUAGGGAAACUUACGCUAAUACCGCAUACGACCUUCGGGUGAAAGCAGGGGACCUUCGGGCCUUGCGCGGAUAGAUGAGCCGAUGUCGGAUUAGCUAGUUGGCGGGGUAAAGGCCCACCAAGGCGACGAUCCGUAGCUGGUCUGAGAGGAUGAUCAGCCACACUGGAACUGAGACACGGUCCAGACUCCUACGGGAGGCAGCAGUGGGGAAUAUUGGACAAUGGGCGCAAGCCUGAUCCAGCCAUACCGCGUGGGUGAAGAAGGCCUUCGGGUUGUAAAGCCCUUUUGUUGGGAAAGAAAAGCAGUCGGCUAAUACCCGGUUGUUCUGACGGUACCCAAAGAAUAAGCACCGGCUAACUUCGUGCCAGCAGCCGCGGUAAUACGAAGGGUGCAAGCGUUACUCGGAAUUACUGGGCGUAAAGCGUGCGUAGGUGGUUGUUUAAGUCUGUUGUGAAAGCCCUGGGCUCAACCUGGGAAUUGCAGUGGAUACUGGGCGACUAGAGUGUGGUAGAGGGUAGUGGAAUUCCCGGUGUAGCAGUGAAAUGCGUAGAGAUCGGGAGGAACAUCCAUGGCGAAGGCAGCUACCUGGACCAACACUGACACUGAGGCACG
rnacentral:rRNA from 1 species